rnacentral:rRNA from 1 species
UACAGAGGUCCCAAGCGUUGUUCGGAUUCAUUGGGCGUAAAGGGUGCGUAGGCGGCGCGGUAAGUCGGGUGUGAAAUCUCGGAGCUUAACUCCGAAACUGCAUUCGAUACUGCCGUGCUUGAGGACUGGAGAGGAGACUGGAAUUUACGGUGUAGCGGUGAAAUGCGUAGAUAUCGUAAGGAAGACCAGUGGCGAAGGCGGCCAUCUGGACCGUAUCUGACGCUGAGGCGCGAAAGCGUGGGGAGCAAACAGG